GUUUACGUUUUCCGGGAGUUGGAUGGAUGAUGGAUCGAGCUGCGACAGAAACGUAGGAUCGACCUGUCGGGUUAUGGCAACAAGGGUUGUUUACGUCUUACGGAAGUUAAAUGGAUGAUUGACCGAGCUGCGACAGAAACGUAGGAUCGACCUGCCGGGUUGUGGCAACAAGGGCUGUACGUUUGCCGGAAGUUGGAUGGACGAUGGAUCGAGCUGCGACAGAAACUUAGGAUCGAUUUGCCGGGUUGUGGAAACAAGGG